rnacentral:rRNA from 1 species
GAUGAACGCUAGCGGGAGGCUUAACACACGCAAGCCGAGGGGUAUAUAGUUUUCGGAUUAUAGAGACCGGCGCACGGGUGCGUAACGCGUAUGUAACUUACCCUGAUCAGCAGGAUAGCCCAGAGAAAUUUGGAUUAAUACUGCAUAAUACUUUGAAUGGCAUCAUUUAGAGUUGAAAGAUUUAUCGGAUCAGGAUAGAC